UAAAAAGAGCCUCUCAGAGUGGAAGUGUCUCUCAGAAGUCAAGAUGGGCAGAGGAUCACCAAUUCCCCCAAUGCUACGGCGAAAAAUAGUGGAGCAACAUCAGAAAGAAGUUUCCCAGAGACAAAUUGCAAAGAGUUUCAAGUUAUCAUCAUCUACAGUGCAUAAUAUCAUCCAAAGAUUCAGAGAAUCUGGAACAAUCUCUGUGUGUAAGGGUCAAGGCUGG